AUUGAACGCUGGCGGCAGGCCUAACACAUGCAAGUCGAGCGGAUGAAGGGAGCUUGCUCCUGGAUUCAGCGGCGGACGGGUGAGUAAUGCCUAGGAAUCUGCCUGGUAUUUGGGGAUAACGUCCGGAAACGGGCGCUAAUACCGCAUACGUCCUGAUGGAGAAAGUGGGGGAUCUUCGGACCUCACGCUAUCAGAUGAGCCUAGGUCGGAUUAGCUAGUUGGUGGGGUAAAGGCCUACCAAGGCGACGAUCCGUAACUGGUCUGAGAGGAUGAUCAGUCACACUGGAACUGAGACACGGUCCAGACUCCUACGGGAGGCAGCAGUGGGGAAUAUUGGGCAAUGGGCGAAAGCCUGAUCCAGCCAUGCCGCGUGUGUGAAGAAGGUCUUCGGAUUGUAAAGCACUUUAAGUUGGGAGGAAGGGCAGUAAGUUAAUACCUUGCUGUUUUGACGUUACCAACAGAAUAAGCACCGGCUAACUUCGUG
rnacentral:rRNA from 1 species